rnacentral:rRNA from 1 species
UGUGCCAGCAGCCGCGGUAAUACAGAGGGGUGCAAGCGUUAAUCGGAAUUACUGGGCGUAAAAGCGCGCGUAGGUGGUUCGUUAAGUUGGAUGUGAAAAUCCCCGGGCUCAACCUGGGAACUUGCAUUCAAAACUGUCGAGCUAGAGUAUGGUAGAGGGUGGUGGAAUUUCCUGUGUAGACAGAAAAAAAAUGCGUAGAUAUAGGAAGGAACACCAGUGGCGAAGGCGACCACCUGGACUGAUACUGACACUGAGGCACGAAAGCGUGGGGAGCAAACAGGAUUAGAUACCCUGGUAGUCCACGCCCUAAACGAUGAUUACUCGAUGUUGGCGAUACACUGUCAGCGUCUAAGCGAAAGCAUUAAGUAAUCCACCUGGGGAGUACGACCGCAAGGUUGAAACUCAAAGAAAUUGACGGGCCCGUCAAUUUAUUUGAGUUACCCCACCCGCGGCUGCUAGAGCAC